CAAACUUUACAAGACACCACUAACUGCGUCCUUUUGUUUUAAAUUCCUGGUAUCCCUGCACACUGCUAGCAGGCUGUGCUGAGCACACAGGUGUUCCUGCUUAGUAUGCCUACCUGCUGCUCUCCUGGCAGGCAGUGAAAAAGGGGAGGGCAGGGGACAGGUGGGUUAUAUGGAUAUGAUCAGCCAGAGGGGAAGUAGCUCUGGGUGCUCGUAGUUACAGUAGCAACCUUCUUGCAUCUGAGCUGAAGAACAGUCCUUUAAGUGGGAUGGAAGAAAAGAACCCUACAUGCACUUUGUGAUGGAUCUGUCUUUCUCUGCUGCAGCCUUCUGUAAAAGCAAUUAUAGCAGUCACUGCUCCUUGCUGGGGAUUCAGUUUCCCCAGGAGAGGCCAUCAGAAAAACAAACCCAUGGCAGCUGGUACAGCCUGCCUGCUGCAAACACAAAGCAGGACUGUGGUGACAGUGCUGCCACCUUGACAGCGAGCAUCCCCUUACGUCGUUCCUGGAACUUGGAGCUCUGCUAACCCCGCUCUGAAUGCAAAAGCUUCCCAGCUGGCUAUUUCCACUUACCUGGGUGGUUGUUGGGAAGUUGUGACAUCAACC
rnacentral:lncRNA from 1 species